GGGGAUGAUGGGCUUCGACGGAAUAAAGCACAUGAUGAUUGCGCGUCGAGAUGAUUCACUCGUAAAAAUCAACUCAAAUAACUGCUAAACAAACAUUAGCGUUUAGUCCAAGGAUUCCUGCAUUCGCAGCGGCCUAGGACUCAUCGGCAUGCUGAGGUUUCAUAGGCAUUAACCGGUGUUACACAUGAAGCUCGUACGUAAGUGGCACUCUUAUGCUUACGCAUUAAACCUUAAAGAGUAAUUCGUUUCGAUUAUCGAAACUACACGCGUAGAGGUCAUCUUCUGCUCAUUCCGGACUAGGGUUCAACUCCCUACAUCUCCACUA
rnacentral:tmRNA from 2 species